AUGGCCACAUCAUGUAGACACCUUGAUUCCCGUACAAUCACCAAAGUUAAGCAACAUUAAGCCUGGUCAUUACCUAGAUGGGUGACCGCUUGGGAAUACCAGGUGCUAUA